rnacentral:rRNA from 1 species
UCAUAUGCUUGUCUCAAAGAUUAAGCCAUGCAUGUCUAAGUACAAGCCUCACUAAGGUGAAACCGCGAAUGGCUCAUUAAAUCACACCUAAUCUACUGGAUAGUUAACAGUUACUUGGAUAACUGCGGUAAUUCUGGAGCUAAUACAUGCACAAAGCCCCGAACUUACGUGAGGGGCGCUUUUAUUAGAUCAAAACCAAACGGCUUCGGCUGUUCUCUUGGUGACUCUGAAUAACUUUGGGCUGAUCGCAUAGCCUAGCGCUGGCGACAUAUCCUUCGAAGGUGUGCCCUAUCAACUGUCGACUGUGGCAUAGACGCCCACAGUGGUUUUGACGGGUAACGGGGAAUCAGGGUUCGAUUCCGGAGAGGGAGCCUUAAAAACGGCUACCACAUCUAAGGAAGGCAGCAGGCACGCAAAUUACCCAAUGACCGAAGGUCGAGGUAGUGACGAAAAAUAACGAUACGGGACUCAUCUGAGGCCCCGUAAUCGGAAUGAGUACACUUUAAAACCGUCCCCGAGGAUCUAUUGGAGGGCAAGUCUGGUGCCAGCAGCCGCGGUAAUUCCAGCUCCAAUAGCGUAUAUUAAAGUUGUUGUGGUUAAAAAGCUCGUAGUUGGAUCUCGGCGGUCUGAGGGCGGUUCACUUGCUAGUGCUACUGCCUAUAGACC